rnacentral:rRNA from 1 species
ACUCAAAUGAAUAGACGGGGGCCCGCACAAGCGGUGGAGCAUGUGGUUUAAUUCGAUGCAACGCGAAGAACCUUACCUACCCUUGACAUCCUGCGAAUUCUGAUGAGAAUUGGAAGUGCCGCAAGGAGCGCAGAGACAGGUGCUGCAUGGCUGUCGUCAGCUCGUGUUGUGAGAUGUUGGGUUAAGUCCCGUAACGAGCGCAACCCUUGUCCUUAGUUGCCAUCAUUAAGUUGGGGACUCUAAGGAGACUGCCGGUGAGGAACCGGAGGAAGGCGGGGACGACGUCAAGUCAUCAUGGCCUUUAUGGGUAGGGCUACACACGUGCUACAAUGGGGCAUACAGAGAGUCGCGCACCCGCGAGGGGAAGCCAAUCUCCCAAAGCGCCUCGUAGUCCGGAUUGGAGUCUGCAACUCGACUCCAUGAAGUUGGAAUCGCUAGUAAUCGCGAAUCAGCAUUGUCGCGGUGAAUACGUUCCCGGGCCUUGCACACACCGCCCGU